rnacentral:lncRNA from 1 species
GAACCUUUCUAGAGAUUGAAGAUAGACUUCUAGAGGAGGAACCUUUUCAGAGAUUGAAGAUGGACUUCUGAAAGAGAUGAGGAUCUAGAAAAAUAUGGAGAAGAGACUCUCUUAUCUUUUUCUUUUUCUCUCUUCCUAAACCCUAAGGAACAAACCCUAGAACUUAGGUCUUGCGCUAACCUAAGAGAAGAGGACUCUCUCUUCUUUUUCAUGUGAAGAACUCACACCCCAAGACCCCA